GCUGGGCGCAGUGACACAUGCCUGCAGUCCCAGUUACUGGGGAGGCUGAGGAGGAGGAUCACUUGAGCCCAGGAGUUCUGGGGUGUAGCGCACUAUGCCAUUCAGGUGUCCACACUAAGUUCGGCAUCAAUGUAGUGACCUCCCAGGAGCGGGGGACCACCAGGUGGCCUAAGGAGGGGUGAAUCGGCCCAGGUCGGAAAUGGAGCAGGUCAAAACUCCCGUGCUGAUCAGUUGUGGGAUGGCGCCUGUGAAUAGCCACUGCACUCCAGCCUGGGCAAAAUAGCAAAACCCUGUCUCU
rnacentral:SRP_RNA from 1 species